ACGGAAGGCAGCAGUGGGGAAUAUUGCACAAUGGGGGAAACCCUGAUGCAGCGACGCCGCGUGAGUGAAGAAGUAUUUCGGUAUGUAAAGCUCUAUCAGCAGGAAAGAAAAUGACGGUACCUGACUAAGAAGCCCCGGCUAACUACGUGCCAGCAGCCGCGGUAAUACGUAGGGGGCAAGCGUUAUCCGGAUUUACUGGGUGUAAAGGGAGCGUAGACGGCUUUGCAAGUCUGAAGUGAAAGCCCGGGGCUCAACCCCGGAACUGCUUUGGAAACUGUAGAGCUGGAGUGCAGGAGAGGUAAGUGGAAUUCCUAGUGUAGCGGUGAAAUGCGUGGAUAUUAGGAGGAACACCAGUGGCGAAGGCGGCUUACUGGACUGUAACUGACGUUGAGGCUCGAAGGCGUGGGGAGCAAACAGGAUUAGAUACCCUGGUA
rnacentral:rRNA from 1 species